rnacentral:rRNA from 1 species
CUGCGAGUGAAGAGGGAAGAGCUCAUCAUUGGAAUCUGGCAGCGUUGCGCUGUCCGAGUUGUAGAUGAGAAGAGUAGGUCAUCUGGACUGCGUGGUGUCCAAGUACAAUAGGCCGUCAGUGGGACAUCAUAGAGGGUGACAAUCCCGUCCUUGACAACCAACGUACGAGUCCAUUACGAUGCCUAUCUCAGAGAGUCGAGCAGUUUGGGAUUUGCUGCUUAAACAUGGGAGGUAGAUUCCUUCUAAAGCUAAAUACAGGCAAGAGACCGAUAGAGAACAAGUACCGCAAGGGAAAGAUGAAAUAGAACUCUGUGAAGGGAGUCAAAAAGACGUGAAAUUGUUGCGAGAGAAGCGAUUCAAGUCAGCGUAGCUAGGCCCAUCAAGCUUCUUGCUUUGGACUAGCUUUGCCAGCGGUCUUGUCCUUUUAGAGACUUGACUUUUGACGUGCCCUGUCCGGUCUAACGGGCAGGCCCUUCGGGGCCAGUGGCAUGGCUGGUGGAAUGGCUUGCAAUCGACCCGUCUUGAAACACGGACCAAGGAGUCUAACAUGUGUGCGAGUAUAAGGGUGGCAAACCCGUAUGCGCAAAGAAAGUGAUAGCCUUUUAUGGCUGAGAAUGGCCUGAUGACCAGACAAGCAAUAUUAUGUUCCUCGUACGGUCAUUGCCCAAGUCCCGUGGUCAGAUCCCAUGGACAUGGAGUUAGAGCAUACAUGCUAGGACCCGAAAGAUGGUGAACUAUGCCUGGACAAAGCGAAGCCAAAGGAAACUCUGGUGGAGGCUUGUAGCGAUUCUGACGUGCAAAUCGAUCGUCUGAUCUGGGUAUAGGGGCGAAAGACUAAUC